UUCUCCCUCUCCCCUCUUUCCCAUAUCUACAGCAUAUACACACUUAUCACGCACACACUCUUUAUGAGACUGUGGUUCUCUCAGGGAACAGACCAGAGGAGCAGGACGUUUGUCACGAAAAAGCAGAAGCGGCACUGCGGUGUCAGCAGAGCCAAAGAAGAUGGCAUUGAGGACACAGUGUUGCCAUAGACCACCAAGAAUCAGCAACUAAAACAAGAAGCUUUUCAACAGCCAUCACAGACAUUUCAACAGCCCAGCAUAGUGCGGAUUUACAAUUCUCAUUAGCAGCAUUUGUCAAGCAAGAGACAAAUAUCAUCCAUCCAACUUCUUGCAUAACAUCUCUGUCUGAAAAAAGCUGGAAUAGAGCAUUGGAAGCUAUUGUUUGCAGGGUUCAGGCCUGCAAGGAACAGAAAUCACUCAAAGAAAUUGGCAACUAAAGCAUAAAGAAUAUUGGAAGAAAAACAGGGGUGAACAGGGAUCACAUGAGGCAUGUCAUUCAGAGCACAUGCACUCUACAUGAACAUGUUUAAUACACUUUCAUGUGAGUUCAAGGCUUGUAAUUCUUCCUCUCAUCAAUUCUUAAUCUUCAAAAAAAUUGUAACAAUGGUUCACGUGAAGUCCCAGGGAUGACAUUAUCACAUUGUCUCGGGUGAAGAUCUGGCAAUAAUGUUGUCAAACGUGAUGCUGGGUGUCCUCCUGUCCUUUCUAAUCCUCCUGACUGUCAGUGGUAAUGUGCUGGUGUGCCUCGCUGUCUGCGCCUCCCGACGCCUCCGCUGUCUCACUAACUGCUUCAUCGUGUCACUGGCCGUCACAGACCUGCUACUUGGCCUCCUGGUCCUUCCUUUCUCCGCCCUCCUUCAGCUUAACAGUGAGUGGCCGCUCGGCCCGGUCUUCUGCAACUUCUACAUCUCCAUGGAUGUCAUGCUCUGCACUGCCUCCAUCCUCACCCUCCUUGUAAUCAGUGUGGACCGCUACCUGGCAGUGACCAUGCCUCUGAGAUAUGCAUCACUAGUGUUGCCAUGGAGAGUUGCUGUUGCGAUGACCGCUGUUUGGACGGUUUCAAUUGCCGUGUCUUUCUUGCCCAUCCAAAUGGGCUGGAACACUGUUAAUGGGACUGUGCAAAACCAUGGGCCCUGGGCUCAGGAGCGGAAAUGUCGUUUUGAACUGAACAGACCCUAUGUACUGACUGACUCUCUCCUCACCUUCUACCUGCCUCUGGUGGCCAUGUGCUGGACGUACCUACGAAUACUUCGCAUUGCACAGGCGCAGGCCAAACGCAUAGGCAGUGCCAGACCCACUUAUUUAACUUACAACUGCAGGAACAGUCCCUCCACCUGCACCACGGUGGUUUCCAACGUUACAGCUGUGGCUCUGCGGGAGCACAAAGCCACAGUGACUCUGGCAGCAGUGAUCGGAGCGUUUGUGGUGUGCUGGCUGCCGUAUUUCAUCCUGUUCACAGUGUUGGGCCUAAAAGAGCAUCCAGACCCCAGCACAGUACAAGAAUAUCCCUUUGUGUUGUGGCUGGGUUAUGCCAACUCAGCACUCAAUCCACUACUCUAUGGAGCCCUAAACAGAGACUUCAGGUCAGCCUACACCCAUCUACUAAGAUGUCGAUGCCCGUCUUACAGUGGGAGGAGCAGCAGACAGCAGUCUUCAACAGAACCAAAAGGCAGAGACCCGUUUACAGAGGUGACACUGUUGUGUGGCCACACACAUUUUACCUGCAGGGCUGGUGUUACAGAUCAAAACUUUGUGCUUCAAGAAUUUAACAACAGGACCGACGCAGUAACUACCCAAACUGGAAAUGACACCGCUGUCACUGAUGUCCAUACAGAUGAUUUAAAUGAUCAGCCUCAGGAUGAAGAGAACAAAAGGAACUUCCAAGAUUAACAGCCCGACUGCUAAAGGCUUCAGCGUCAACCACAGUACAGUAUGUAAGUAGAAAAAAAUGCAUCCCUCUAACCCCCACAGACAAUGUCAGGCCCAGAACAAAUGAACUGUGACACUCAGAUCCUACUGGUGUCAUCCACCGAGCAUCAGGCCAUAUGGCAAUAUCGUUGUUAGGCCAAGAAAUAUGCUUUCAGAAGGGAGGCACUUUAUGUUUCACAUCCUGCUUUCACGUGUAUGUUCACACUUUGUGAACAGGAUCAAAUCAUUAGUUUACCAUUUCCAUGCACAUUUUUGUAAAUAUUCUGUAAGUAAAAGCAACAAGGCGAGUUUUCAGACCUUUGCUUUGACACAGCACCACAUUAAACCCAACACACAAGAGCCUUGUAAAGAGUUAACCACUGCAAUUUACAUGCCUGGAUGUCAUGACACCGUCAUCAGAUUUGGUGUCUUGUAAUUUGUAUUAAAUGUUAAAAAGCAGGUUAAAUACAUUUAAAGUGCAACAUGAUCUUUUACUACAGUUCAUCCUAUCUGCUAAUAAAAGCACAACAAUAUCAACUUAGAAUAAAGUGUACACUUCAUGAGACAUUGUUUUAAGAUGGUACAAAUUAAGAAUAAACAAAUUAUAUCUAUGAUGCAUGUAUUUUCAAAUAAUGAAAUCCUCAAGGGAGAUGGCUGACAUUAUCUUGUGCACCUACUGUCUUAUACUGGGGAAGCAUUUUUUUUAGUGCAUUAACCAAAAUAAUAAUAAUUUACUUAUAUCAUAUUGUUGAUAUAAAAAGCUUAAACAGAUGUUAGAAGUUUGUUGCAGAUAAAAAUGUUCUUUUUAUGCUUUUUAUAUUUAGGCUUUAUAUGCGAUUUUUUUGAUCCAGCAGAUGUCACCCUUGAGCACCAGCAUGAAACCAAAACAACUCGCGCUGCAUUGUUGUGUUAGCAUGCUAAUGCUAGCGAUCUUUAUUAUGCUUGUAUCUUCACACUGCAUGUAAAUUUACCUGAAAUGACCGUGAUCUAGAUACACAGUUAAGCAGUGAGUACAGUAUGUUAUUCUUCUUUUCUCUAGUCCCUCAAUUAAACAACUUUUAUACGCGAGGGGAGGAGUCGGCCGGCCGUCCUGGCGAUGUCAACAAACUGAAGAUAGGACUUGGAGGACUCGGAAAGCAUCACAGACAAACUGACAAAACUGUGAGAAAAAUGGGACUUCCGAUACUCUACACCUCAUCAGAGAGAACCAACUGUACUCACACAGCCUGCCUACAUCACAUGUGGACCGAUGAAUGAUGCUGCUUCUUUGAGGAGGGAACUAAACGUCUACUAGUCAAACAACUCUUCGGUCCAAACAUUGGACAGAGAAAUGCGUGGCUCAGAUAAGCCCUUGAACGUACUGUAGAUGCUCUGAAGGACUAAAUGAAACCAUACGAUAAACUUGCCUGCCAUCCAUUUCAUGAACUACAUUUUUUAUGACGACUCAGAAGUGGACUCCUGGGAAAACAGGACGUAUUCAAACCUCUACCUGGGAAAAGUUAGUCGUAAUCUGAAUUUUCACAAAAUAAGUGAAUUCAAGGACACUAUUGAUAUAAAGACUUAAUGCACUGAUCACUUUAUGUGGAACGACUUGAAAUGUUUGACAUUUGAAUGUGACGCAUGCAAACUAAUGAUAUAUGGCCAUUUCAAAAAAAUGCUUCUGUCUCCAGAUUGUGUCUUUUACAUUGCUCAUUCAGUGGCAUAAACCUGACAAAUGUAUGUAUCGCAUCACACUGUAAAUUAAACUGAGAAAAUGC